AUUGAACGCUGGCGGCAUGCUUUACACAUGCAAGUCGAACGGCAGCGCGGGCUUCGGCCUGGCGGCGCGUGGCGAACGGGUGAGUAAUACACCGGAACGUGCCCAGCAGUGGGGGAUAGCUCGGCGAAAGCCGGAUUAAUACCGCAUACGACCUGAGGGUGAAAGCGGGGGAUCUUCGGACCUCGCGCUAUGGGAGCGGCCGAUGGCAGAUUAGCUAGUUGGUGGGGUAAAGGCCUACCAAGGCGACGAUCUGUAGCUGGUCUGAGAGGACGACCAGCCACACUGGGACUGAGACACGGCCCAGACUCCUACGGGAGGCAGCAGUGGGGAAUGUUGGACAAUGGGCGAAAGCCUGAUACAGCAAUGCCGCGUGUGUGAUGAAGGCCUUCGGGUUGUAAAGCACUUUUGGCGGGAACGAAAAGGACUGUGCCAAUACCACGGUUGGAUGACGGUACCCGCAGAAUAAGCACCGGCUAACUACGUG
rnacentral:rRNA from 1 species